rfam:Candidatus Yanofskybacteria bacterium RIFCSPLOWO2_12_FTLL_43_11b rifcsplowo2_12_scaffold_2274, whole genome shotgun sequence.
UGAGUAACCGCAAGUCUUGUGAAAACCAAGACCGCCGAAAGCCUGAGGUUUCCUCCGCGAUGUCAAUCAUCGGAGGGUUAGGCGACCCUAAGCGUAACCCCGCUGUUGAAGAGCACUUGUUGCUUCGCAACUAUUUGUUGUUGAAGUACGAGUGUGAGAAAUAAUAUAGAAAUAUUUAUUUUAAGUAUUGCAGCAGUAUGCUGGUGCUUUUCAACGGCGGGGGAUCGCGAUGGUCAGCCGGUUAAUAUUCCGGCCCCGCUUAUAUAUUUGAAGGGAUGACGGACUAUAAAAGGUCAAGCACAUUAUUGGAUUUGUGUCUUUGCUCGUAGGAUAGGAACCAGGCAAAUCCGGUUCCGGCCGCAAGGCAUAUCCGAGAGUAAAAGAAAUUGCCGCAAGGCUUGAUUUGACCGAAUAGUGUUCCAAGAAAAGUCUCUAAAUUUAUUAUAUAAGCGCACGUACCGCAAACCGACACAGGUAGGCAGGUGUAAGUGCACCAAGGCGAACGGGUGAUUAUUGGCUAAGGAACUCGGCAAAAAAGCGGCCGUAAGUUCGCGAUAAGGCCUGCCCAGCACCACUUUGACUUUAAGUGUGAGAUUAGUAAUAUGCGAUUAUGUAUAUCGUGUAUUUAAUUCAACAUUCUGAAACAAAACAUUUGUAUUAUGGAGUGACGAAAAAUCUCAAAGAGCGAUUAGAUACACAUAAUCGCAAUGGUCAAAAAGCGACGAUGCAUAAAAGCGGAACAUGGAUGCUCGUGUAUGCGGAAGCAUAUCGAGCCAAAGAAGAUGCAUUACGUCGUGAACGAAAACUUAAAGAUCACGGAAGAUCAAUUCAAGAACUAAAGAAAAGAAUCAAAAAAGGUUUAUUGUCUUGAAGUCAAAGUGGUGCUGGGCCACAGCUAAAGAACCCCUGGCGACUGUUUAUCAAAAACACAACUUCGUGCUAAGCCGUAAGGCGAUGUAUACGAGGUGACGCUUGUCCGGUGCCGGAACGUUAACGGUGGAGGUGGUAUGGAGCAAUCUGUACUGCUGACGCCCGAAGCGCCGGUGAACGACGGCAGUAACUAUAACUGUCUAAAAGUAGGAAAGCUGCUUUUAUAAAAUCUGACUAAAUGCUGGAAAAUCUGUAGUAUCGAGAGCUACGACAUGGUAUAAUGAUACCAUGCGUAAAAAGGCUCCUCGUGCAGACAAUCAGCAGGAAAGAUUAAGACUAGAGGGAUGGAUAAAUGGUUUUGUUGAUGGUGAAGGAUGUUUUACAAUAAGCAUCAUUCGCAAUCGUUCAAUAACCAAACGACAAGGCUGGCAAGUAUUUCCAGAAUUUGUAGUGAGUCAAGGCGAGAGGAGUGAAGCGGCAUUAAAAAGAAUUGAAAAAUUCUUUAAGUGCGGUUACAUAAAUCUCAAUACACGCCGUGAUAAUCAUCAUGAACAAAUGUUGAAGUAUUGUGUCAGGUCAAUUCAUGACCUUAAUGAAAAAAUUAUACCCUUCUUUGAGAGAAAUAAACUGAAAACCUAUAAACAAAAAGAUUUUCAAGUUUUUCGAAGAAUCAUAAAAAUGAUGGUUCUAAAGAAACAUCUCUCUGAAAAAGGGUUAAGCAAAAUUACUUCACUGAUUCAAACAAUGAAUCGGAGAAAGUAUGCUCAAGUCUUAAAAUCCUCAGAGACUAUACGUCAGACCCCAACGUUGAACGAACGUGGCGGGAAGAUAUAGUCCGAACUGCAUGGCGACAUGCAGGGCACAUAAAUAUGUGCCGCAACAAAAUAGUUGUAACGUAUUCGAGCGAAAUACCUUGUGGGGUAAGUUCCCACGCGCAUGAAUAGCGGAACGACUGGGGGACUGUCUCAGCCAAUAGCCCGGUGAAAAUGCAAUGUCGGUAAAGAUGCCGACUACCCGCACCAAGACGGAAAGACCCCGGAAGCUUUACUGCAGCUUGGUAUUGGUCUACGAGUUGUUAUGCGUAGCGUAGUGAGUAGGAUUUGAAGUCCACCUCUCGGGGUGGAUGGAUCCGCCGAUGAAACACUCAUCUUAACGAUUUGUAGCUCUAACCGGUUACACCCUAAAAGGGUGGAAUUAUAAAAGCUAAAGUGAGCUCCUGGAAUACCAUAUAGUAUAUCUAUUUGGUUGGGAGUAAUUUUAGGUUUUAUCAAAUUCCAAAUUUUUAGGGUGUAAUCGAGACAGUGCCUGGCGGGCAGUUUAAGUGGGGCACUUUUCUCCUAAAAAGUAAUGGAGAAGUUCAUCAAGGUUGGCUAGCUCCGGAUGGAAAUCGGAGCGAUAGCGUAAAGGCAAAAGCCAGCUUUACUGCAAGGCGGAUGUGCCGCGCAGUUGCGAAAGCAGGACUUAGUGAACCGACUCUUGCUCGUAGGAGCGGAGAAGAUCAUCAGAUAAAAGCUACUCCGGGGAUAACAGGCUGGUUUUGCCCGAGCGUUCAUAGCGACGGCAAAGUUCGGCACCUUAACAUAUCGGGGUGCUCUAGGAGAGAUCCUAUACCUGGAAAC